AUGAUGAUGAUUUUGAAGUUCCAUCAACGGUUAUACAAAAGAAGAAAGUCCCUAAAAAAAAGAGCAAAGGUAGUAAAGAAAGUCCUUCGAAGUUGAAUAUUCUACAUGGAGUACGGGAGAGGGAGAACUAUAUGAAACAAUAUAGGUCAAAUAUUGUUUCAUUAAUACACCUAAUGCGAGACACAAGGUUCACUAAAAGACACAUUACUGCCCUUGAGAGAACACCUUUUGGGAUGUUAUUUAAAUAUUUUUGGAAGAAAGAUGAUAUGGUGUUAAAGAAGUUCAAGAAAGUUGACGAUAAUGUCAUAGAUGUGAUCAAAUCUUAUGACUUUCAUGCAAAGGGAUUUAAGCUUGGGGGAAAAACAUGUGACAUACGGGACAGUGACGUUACUUUGAUUUUUGGGAUAAAAUCAGGAACGAAAAAAGUAGAUGUGUCAUAUGGAAAGACACAAGAAUCACCUUUUGUGUAGAGUAGGUUUCGUAAUAUGUUAAGAAUAUCUAUAAAGAGUUUGCGAGAGGCAUUAGGAGAUGCGUUGGAAGGCACAACGAGAGUUGAUGUUGAUGAUGCUGCAUGAAUAAUGUGUCUAUUUGAUGUGGCGACUUUGCUAUUACCAACAAUUGGUCUAACAGUUGGAUUGGCCUUUGUCGCCCUUGUAGAAGAUUUGGAAAUGAUGAAUUCGUAUGCAUGGUCAAUUGCAGUUGCAUCCACGUUGACUACUUCAAUCCAUUCUUCAUUAGGAAGUCCUGAAAAUGUCACUGGAUGUGUACUUCUUCUUUUGGUAAGUAAAUUGAACUACUUGAAAUAUUAUGAAAUCUAUCUUUAGAGAAUUAACUAAUUUCGAUUUUUUAUUUUAUAGUAUUGGUUAUGCGAGCAUACUACCCUCAUUCAACCUCAAGGAAAAAAUUUGUGUCCAAGGCUCCUUCGAUGAGACUUAUCAACAAUGAGGAAAAGGCUAAUGAAGAAGUCAUUGCAAACACUAAAGCCCGAAGAGGUAAAUCACAAUGAACUGAAGCCCAUUUCCAGAGAAGAAAUGGAGCUCAUUUGCAAUGAUGAUGAAGAAGAUGCAUUGGACAUAGAGGAAAAUUUGGAGACUGAAGAAGAUGCAUUGGACAUGAAGGAAAAUUUGGAGACUGAAGAAAAUGAAGAUCAUGUAGCUGAAGCUUUAGGAGAUGAUCAACCUUUGAAGGACUUCAUUGAUCUUCAAAAGGAAAACAAGAGGCUGAAAAGUGAGAAUAUGGCAUUGGUUGAAGAACUGAAGAAAAGCAGGGAAACAAUGCAAAAAUAGAAGAGGAUCAAGAGGCAAAAACAAAAGAAAUGAUGGAAAAGAUGAGCAACACAGAGAAAGAAAUGGAGAAACUGAGAAAGGAGAUUGAAGUACUCGAAUCUGAAAAUAAACAGUUGGUUGAACAGAUUAAAGAAAAUGCAGUUCAUGCGACUACCCAAGGUUUUGCUUCUAAAGAAAUGCCGCAUGCUAAAGGAGUAGAACAAGAGCAAAACUUUGGGAUUCAAACUACAUUGAAAGAAAUACCUAUAGUCGUAGAGCCAUUGCAAACAUCCAUGGUCAAGAAAAUCAAAAUCAAGGCGAGGAAGAAAAAAGAGAUGUCUGAUUUUGAAUGUGAGCCAAGAGAGGCAAAGAAAAAAAAGACCACAAAACAAGCAAUUGAAGUGAUAUCAAAAGAAGUGAUUUAUGUUGACAACUUGCAUCUAAGCCAACCAAAGCCAGUUGAAAGGGUUUUGUUUCCAGAUAAUGCUGCAAUAUGCAAAUUGCUUGAUAAGAAUGAUAAGUGUCUAUUGAACAAGAUUUAGAAUUUGGAAACCACAGAUGCAAUCAUAUAGUCCGGCACAGGAAAUGGAGUAUAUGUUACAUUGCAUGAUGUAGAUGCAAUUCUGAGAGAUGGUGAUACUGCAAAUAAUGUCAUUGACAGCUUCGUAGAAAUGCUUGAGAUUGAGCAACAAGCAAAGAAACUAGAAAAGAAUAAAUCAUUCUUUUUCUCAAGCCUUUGUUAGUCUUUAGUGAAAUGGGGUUAUGGGGAGCUGAGAAAUCAUUUAAUUGAUAAAGUCCUUGAACAAGAUUUGAGUGGAUAUAGAUACCUUCAUUUUUGCAUGAAUUCCAAUGGGAACAAAAAGGAAGAAAAAUCCUACCACUGGACACUUCUUGUAUUUGACACUGAACUUGAUGAGUGGAGACAUUAUAAUUCUUUAAAGCCAAGAGACAACAGAGAAGAUCCUUACCUUAAGGAUGCAAAAAACAUUAUAACAUAUGUGGAUAGCAAGUUGGCCAACAAAACGAAAAGAGGUGGAAGAAAGUUUGCAAACUUGGUUUCGGUGAAAGAUAGUCCACAACAACGCCCAACAUCAUAAGUUUUUCAUGCUACUAUUACAUGCUUCAAUUGGUAGUUUUCAAAUUUGACUAAAUCUAACAAGAUAUUGAUUUUUAUUAACAGUGUUGAUUGUGGAAUUAUUGUAUGUUAUAUCAUGCACCAAAUCAUAAGAGAUGAGCCUAUUACAAAUUCUAUGGAAGAUGAUGAAAUUAACAAUUUCCGAGCGUCAAUAGUGCAUCAAUUUUUGAAUGAUUAUCCAAAAACAUGGACUGAGGAACACUUCAACCUCAAAAAAAAAAAAAAAAAAAAAAAAAGAA